rnacentral:rRNA from 1 species
UACGUAGGGUGCAAGCGUUGUCCGGAAUUAUUGGGCGUAAAGAGCUCGUAGGCGGUUUGUCGCGUCGAAUGUGAAAACCCGGGGCUCAACCCCGGGCCUGCAUUCGAUACGGGCAGACUAGAGUUCGGUAGGGGAGUCUGGAAUUCCUGGUGUAGCGGUGAAAAUGCGCAGAUAUCAGGAGGAACACCGGUGGCGAAGGCGGGACUCUGGGCCGAUACUGACGCUGAGGUGCGAAAGCGUGAGGAGCAAACAGG